UCCUUGGAAGAAGAGCUAGUGUGAUUUCUUGAGAGGGUUCUAGAAACAGAUUGGAUUGAGUUGGUCUCUUAGAAAUGGAACGUGUUAGAGGAGCUGAUUGUCUCUCACAUUAUCAGUCUCUCAUGUCCACACUGGGCUGUGCAUUCUGCAGGGUCUUGAGAAACAGGAUGUAUCUUUUCAAUAUCAUCUUUCCCCAAUAGCCUAGCAUAAAUAUCAAUAUGAAACAUUCCUUCCUAAAUCACUCUCUCAAAUGGGAAUGAAGAUCCUGGUGGCCUGGGUAUAUGUGAGGAGCUGGACUGGAGAGAUAUGGGAGAAAGAGAAAAAAAAUGCUAAUAUUGUUGAGAUUGGGAAGGAGGACCCUAAAAGCUUGAGGUCCUACACUAGUGUGGUGAGGUGUCUCAAAAGAAUUUGCAGGCUUGAACCUAUCUCCUUGUCAAGAGGCAAAAUUUAUUGGAAGUAAUGGUAAUGUCAUUACCAAAAAGGGCUGAAUUCCAAGAGAAUACAGCAGAGAAACAGAAGAAGAGACUUUUAUCCAUCUUAUACCAUAGACAGGCUAAUUCUAUUGUUCAAGGGUAGGGCUAGGGAGUCUAUCAUUGGCAUGUUAUUUCUAUGGUCUAAAUUUAAGGGUAGGGCUAGGGAGUAGUCUCCAGAUUAAGGCGAAGUCUCUGAAAUUUGAUUAUCACUAACCAGAUCAUCAUUCAGCAAUGAACUUAAAAAUACUUUAUUCAGAAUCAUACAGAUUGGGCAUGGGAGUUUCCUGAGGCACAUUACAAAACCAAAAGAUUUAGAAUUUCCUGACUUAGAGUUAGAAUAGAUGCUCCUCCUCCCAAACAAAAUACCCAGGGACCACAAAAUCCUAUAUCAUUUUUCCCCCUCAAGCAGUCAUCCCCAAAUGUUCCCAAAAUUCAUUUGGGACAAAGGGAUGGAGGUCUCAUCUUCUGGAGUUGUUUCAUGCUCAUAAGGGGUAUAGAGUAUCCCUGCCCAGGUCCAAACUGAGGAGGGAAGGUAAGAUGGCAUCAGCAGUAUUCAGUGAGUUAUGCCACAGUUCCCUUCUAAUGUCCUGACCCAGUUACUCUAAUUGUCUUAUUUGGUUACUCUGCCUCACUUUCCCUCUUAAUGUUUGAUGAGAUAAAGGUUUUAUAUCUUUAGGCUAUAAUGUUUCUUAACAUUCUUAACAUCCCUUCUUAAUGUUUGACAGGAUAAUGGUCUAUCCAUUUUAGACAGCAUUAGAAUAUCAGUAACCUCUCCAGUAUCUCCCUCCAUUGUGUCAUCCUAGGUGCCUCCCCCCAUUAGGUUAUCCCUAUCUAGGUACCUCCCUCAUUAUGUCAUUGUUCUUGUUAUCCUAUAAAAGAGUCUUGAUCUCUGAUACUCAGGGCUGGAUUCUUUGAGAGGAUAGUCUCAUCCAGCCCUGGGACCAACCAUGGAUCCAUUUGGUCCCAGUAUAUCUCUCCAUUUAAUAAACUAUUAAAUUGGUCUCUAAUCUCUGUCUUGCUCAGUUUCUCUGGCAUUACACUAACUCCUUCUGUCCUCAAGAAUUUAUGACACUAUCCCCUCUAAAAUAUUCCAAAAGAUAAGACUAUGCAGGAUACCUCAUUGACAUCUUUACUUCUGUUUAUUCAGACAUCCCGACUCUGGUUUCCUAGUAGGAAUUUAUAGCCUCCCCCCAUUCUGACAGAACCAAAUGGUUCUGUUAAAAAAACUUCCCACUCUUUUUUUUCUUUCUUUGAAAAAGAUAUAAAAAGACUUGGGAUUCUCCCAUCCAUGACUGGAUACUUUGAGACAAGAGUCCUGUCCAGUCAAUUAUAUUGUCCAAUUAAUAAAAUUUUAAAAACUCUCUAAUCUCUAUCUUGCCUCAGUUUCUCUGGUAUUACACCAGAAACUUUGUUAUUACUAACCAAUAGAUUUCUAUACAAAAGAUAGCAUUGUUUGUAAGACUAGUAAUCCUAGGAUUAUUGCUGCCUCCUCCUCAGGAGAACACCACAUUACUCUGGACUAACUUGUAACCGGUUCUUAAUUAUGACGUUUGUGGAUUACUAGACCUUCUUUCCUCGUCUCCUUCGGUAGCUUUGGACAGCUUUGCUUUUUCACCUGGCCAUUAUUUCAAUCUCCCCCUUCUCUUCCCACUAAAGUCUUCUGCUAAGUGAGCUUUCCUCCUUCUCUUGCCCUCAGCCCUGUAAACUACACUGUUCUGUUGAAAGGAAAAUGCACCUGAGCUUUCACUCUGAUUAAUAAGACAAAAUUUAGGACACAGAGAAUUAAAAGAAUUAUAAAUACAUCAAGGUGGUUGUUUGUCUAUUGUUAUCAAAGAGAGCUAUGUUAUUGAUAUAGUGUAAUUCCUAGGGAGAACGUAGAAAUAACCCUAAAGUAAUCUGGACUUGGGAGUGCUAUAGAUCUACAAACAAUGCUGGCGCUCAGAUAACAAUCUGUUGGUCAGAACUAACAAAGUUUCUAAAACAAUCUAAGCCAUAGAAUUCAAUAAUAGGGUGCAUACCAGAUCACUCCUCAACUCCACUUUUAAAACUAUUCUUCAAAGCUGCCUCUAAGUCAUAAAAUUAACAUACUAGUGGCAUGAAGCACCUGAUCUUUCUAUCUUUUUUUUCUAUAAAUUUAUCUUCUUGCUCCUGCUUCUUUGCUAAAUUUUUUUUUGAAACUUAGCUCACUCCUAGGAGAUUAAUAAAUCUUUGGAGACUGAGUUUGUGAUUUCUUUCACCAUACCUGUAAUACUGACCUAAGGACCUUAACAUUGUUGGGGUGUCAUGCCUCAAGAAAAUGAUUAAUGAUUUUCUUGAGCUUACUUAUUAUUCUGAGAAGACCAGAUUGACUUGGAAAUCAGAAUCAUCAAUCAAGAGUUCAAUCUAACAAAGACAAAACAAUUAGUUAUCCAUGACUUUAUAUCCCUUAAGUAGGUAGAUAUGUACAUAUGGGAACAGAUAUUUAUCUAACUGCAAUAACCCCUUGAGCUAUUAAUAAAAGCUGAAGUUGUUCCAUUAUCUUUAAUAAAUAAACAUUUCCCUCCUGUUCCCCCACCCACCCAACUUUUCAUUACUAUUUAAGUACCUAAUACAAUAAAAUAGCAUGUUAUGGAUUAGUAUUGUUUUUUUUCUAGGUCCUGGG
ensembl:lncRNA